rnacentral:rRNA from 1 species
AUUGAACGCUGGCGGCAGGCCUAACACAUGCAAGUCGAGCGGAUGAUGGGAGCUUGCUCCUGGAUUCAGCGGCGGACGGGUGAGUAAUGCCUAGGAAUCUGCCUGUUAGUGGGGGAUAACGUCCGGAAACGUGCGCUAAUACCGCAUACGUCCUGAGGGAGAAAGUGGUGGUUCUUCGUACCUCACGCUAUCAGAUGAGCCUAGGUCGGAUUAGCUAGUUGGUGGGGUAAAGGCCUAUCAAGGCGACGAUCCGUAACUGGUCUGAGAGGAUGAUCAGUCACACUGGAACUGAGACACGGUCCAGACUCCUACGGGAGGCAGCAGUAGGGAAUAUUGGACAAAGGGCGAAAGCCUGAUCCAGCAAUGCCGCGUGUGUGAAGAAGGUCUUCGGAUUGUAAAGCACUUUAAGUUGGGAGGAAGGGCAGUAAGUUAAUACCUUGCUGUUUUGACGUUACCAACAGAAUAAGCACCGGCUAACUUCGUG